GCCCCUGACUCUGGGAUAAGCGCUGGAAACGGCGUCUAAUACCGGAUAUGAGCUGCGAUCGCAUGGUCAGCAGUUGGAAAGAUUUUUCGGUCUGGGAUGGGCUCACGGCCUAUCAGCUUGUUGGUGAGGUAAUGGCUCACCAAGGCGUCGACGGGUAGCCGGCCUGAGAGGGUGACCGGCCACACUGGGACUGAGACACGGCCCAGACUCCUACGGGAGGCAGCAGUGGGGAAUAUUGCACAAUGGGCGAAAGCCUGAUGCAGCAACGCCGCGUGAGGGAUGACGGCCUUCGGGUUGUAAACCUCUUUUAGCAGGGAAGAAGCGAAAGUGACGGUACCUGCAGAAAAAGCGCCGGCUAACUACGUGCCAGCAGCCGCGGUAAUACGUAGGGCGCAAGCGUUAUCCGGAAUUAUUGGGCGUAAAGAGCUCGUAGGCGGUUUGUCGCGUCUGCUGUGAAAUCCCGAGGCUCAACCUCGGGUCUGCAGUGGGUACGGGCAGACUAGAGUGCGGUAGGGGAGAUUGGA
rnacentral:rRNA from 1 species